GAUGAACGCUAGCGGCAGGCCUAACACAUGCAAGUCGAGGGGUAUUUGGAGCUUGCUCCAAAGAGACCGGCGCACGGGUGCGUAACGCGUAUGCAAUCUACCUUGUACAGAGGGAUAGCCCAGAGAAAUUUGGAUUAAUACCUCAUGGUAUUAUUGAGUCGCAUGAUUUAAUAAUUAAAGUUCCAACGGUACGAGAUGAGCAUGCGUCCCAUUAGCUAGUUGGUAUGGUAACGGCAUACCAAGGCGACGAUGGGUAGGGGUCCUGAGAGGGAGAUCCCCCACACUGGUACUGAGACACGGACCAGACUCCUACGGGAGGCAGCAGUGAGGAAUAUUGGUCAAUGGAGGCAACUCUGAACCAGCCAUGCCGCGUGCAGGAAGAAGCAUCUAUGGUGUGUAAACUGCUUUUGUACGGGAAGAAACACUCCCUCGAGAGGGAGCUUGACGGUACCGUAAGAAUAAGGAUCGGCUAACUCCGUG
rnacentral:rRNA from 1 species